rnacentral:lncRNA from 1 species
ACUUUGGGCCCGAGCUCACUCUUCUUCUCCCAACUCCUUGUUAACCUCCUCCUACAUAAAUAUAUGUACAUAUUUCAUACACAAUAUUUAUAUCAAAAUAACUAGAACAUAUAAAAAUAUAAAAAUAUAUAUGCAUGCGUUAGAGAAAUUAACCUACCUUAUCGAAAGAUUUGACGAACUCAGAAGCCGCGGCUUUUUUGCGCUCUUGUCGAAAACCUUCCUGAGCUGUGGAAGGACCUUAGUUUGCCAAUAACCAUCUUUCUCUGUCUCUCUCUCUCUUCUUUAUAUAUCUAUAUAUCUCUCCUCUCCACCUUAAAUCACCUCUAUAUGUAGAGAGAGAGAUCUCUCUCUCUUUAAUAUAUUUAUACAAUCUCCCUCUUCUUAAUCGUAUGUAUUAACACAAAACCUGGUUAUGCAUCAACAACAAUCAUCAAUAAUAAUCAUGAAAAAGUAAAUCACAAAAAUUAAAGGAGCAAAAAAGAGGGGAAAAAAAAAAAAAAAAAAGAGGAGAGAGAUACGUACGAGAGGUUUAGUUUCUUUUUCGCUAAU